AGGCCAUGGCGUGGGCAGAAUCUUAACAGCUCCUUAUAGCUCUCCCAAGCUUCAAAAAGUGAUUCUCCUUGGUUUUGGAUAAAUCUAGUUAUUUAGUUUCGAAGAAC